rnacentral:sRNA from 1 species
UGCCAAGUCGGACACGACCUAAGAGCCCAAGAAAACAUAAUUAUAGGAAUGAAAGUGCCCGUGAAAGCCUUUGUGAUUCUCCUCAUCAGAAUCUCUCAAGACCUCUUCUGGAAAACAAACUUAAAGCAUUCAGUAUUGGAAAAAUGAGUACAGCUAAGCGAACUUUAAGUAAAAAGGAACAGGAAGAAUUAAAGAAAAAGGAGGAUGAAAAGGCAGCUGCUGAGAUUUAUGAGGAGUUUCUUGCUGCUUUUGAAGGAAGUGAUGGUAAUAAAGUGAAAACAUUUGUGCGAGGGGGUGUUGUUAAUGCAGCUAAAGAAGAACAUGAAACAGAUGAAAAAAGAGGUAAAAUCUAUAAGCCAUCUUCAAGAUUUGCAGAUCAAAAAAAUCCUCCAAAUCAGUCUUCCAAUGAAAGACCACCAUCUCUUCUUGUGAUAGAAACCAAAAAACCUGUAAGUCAUACUUAAGUAAUUGACCAUUUAUGUUCAGAGAUGACACUGCCAGUGAUACUUCCACUGUAAGCAAGACUUUGGCUUUUUUUCGUUUUUGGUGGGGGCAGGGUGGUAGAUGUUAAGUUUUGAUGCUUUCUAACCCAGUAAUUUACUUAGAUGAGAGAUAAUGAAUUGGGACACAUAGAUGAUAUUCUUUUUAUGCUUUUUGAGCAGUGAACAUUUGCUAUUUAUGCUCAUAAUAUAUUGCAAGUCAAAAAUUGACUAUAUUGCAAGUCAAAAAUUGACUAUAUUUGACUUGCAGUGGGGUUGUCUUUUUAAGCAUUUCCGAACUGAGGUAUUUAAAUUAUUAGUAUGUGUAGUGUAUAUUUCCCAGAA